rnacentral:rRNA from 1 species
CAGGCCUAACACAUGCAAGUCGAACGAGGGCUUCGGCCUUAGUGGCGCACGGGUGCGUAACGCGUGGGAAUCUGCCCUUGGGUACGGAACAACAGUUAGAAAUGACUGCUAAUACCGUAUAAUGACUUCGGUCCAAAGAUUUAUCGCCCAAGGAUGAGCCCGCGUCGGAUUAGCUAGUUGGUGAGGUAAAAGCUCACCAAGGCGACGAUCCGUAGCUGGUCUGAGAGGAUGAUCAGCCACACUGGGACUGAGACACGGCCCAGACUCCUACGGGAGGCAGCAGUGGGGAAUAUUGGACAAUGGGCGAAAGCCUGAUCCAGCAAUGCCGCGUGAGUGAUGAAGGCCUUAGGGUUGUAAAGCUCUUUUACCCGGGAUGAUAAUGACAGUACCGGGAGAAUAAGCCCCGGCUAACUCCGUGCCAGCAGCCGCGGUAAU